AGCAGCCGCGGUAAUUCCAGCUCCAAUAGCGUAUAUUAAAGUUGUUGCAGUUAAAAGCUCGUAGUUGAAUUUCGGGGUCAGCAGGUCGGUCGUGCCACUGGUAUGUACUGGCUUUGCUGAUUCCUCCCUCUUGACGAACCGUAAUGCCAUUAAUUUGGUGUUGCGGGAAAUCAGGACUGUUACUUUGAAAAAUUGAGUGUUUAAAGCAGGCUUACGCUUGAAUACAUUAGCAUGGGAUAAUGAAAUAGGACGUUCGAUCCUAUUUUGUUGGUUUCUAGGAUUGACGUAAUGAUUAAUAGGGAUAGUUGGGGGCAUUAGUAUUCAAUUGUCAGAGGUGAAAUUCUUGGAUUUAUUGAAGACUAACUACUGCGAAAGCAUUUGCCAAGGAUGUUUUCAUUAA
rnacentral:misc_RNA from 1 species